AGCGUAGGUGGACCUUUAAGUGAGAUGUGAAAUACCCAGGCUCAACCUGGGGGCCGCAUUUCAAACUGGAAGUCUAGAGUGCAGGAGAGGAGAGUGGAAUUCCUAGUGUAGCGGUGAAAUGCGUAGAGAUUAGGAAGAACACCAGUGGCGAAGGCGACUCUCUGGACUGUAACUGACGCUGAGGCUCGAAAGCGUGGGAGCAAACA
rnacentral:rRNA from 1 species